AUUUCGAAGCUACCCUGGCCUUAUGACUCCCAAGUGGCACAGCGUCUCAGCGCUAGAAGCGUCACUACAGAGACCCAUCUUCAAAUCAAGACUGCGUUUCUAUCAAAGUGGUCCACCUUCCCUGUGGCCGACAUGGUUGCUGUAUGGACAGUGGAGAGGACAUGGACGUCUCGUUUGUCAUGCCACUUUACUGCCAGCUGUUAACAUUUCUUAUUUUGUAUAACGGGUCAUUUAGGAUGGAGGUAGCGUUGAUGAAAUGCAGUCAUAGCAGCAGAACUAGAAAGCAGUCUUUACUGUCACCAGGAAUGUAUACAUUUCACUAAUUGUGGUUGUCCCCCACUCCUGGCUCUCUCUUCUCCUGUAGCUCCAAGGCAUAGUGAUUGGUCUCUACUGUCUCCCACCAGCUCCUCUGUCAGAAACAACUUGAAGCACUCUGCCUCAGUUGGAAAUGGCAAGGGGCGUUGCACUCCAGACUGGGACUCAUCAACACAAUCAGCAGGGCCAGGAGGGGUGAAAUGGCUGGCAGCCUUCCAGCUACCACAGAACUCCUGUACUUCAUCCACUGUCAGUCUGCCACCAUCACCACCAGCAUCUUCAAAGGGACCUGGGACUUCGUCAGUGGACAAGGGAAAUUCAGAUUCAGGGUUCUCAGUGGCUACAAGGUUGGGGGGCAGCUCCUCACGCAGUCAGAAUCUGAUUCCUGACUUUCAUACUCUGACUCAUUGUCAGAAUUUUAAAAAAAUCUCCAGAAUUUCCACAUUUGUUUGUUGUCUCCUUUUGAAAGACAUUGCUAAUGCUUCAGCUUAGCUCACUAGCUACAUACAUAAACAACAACACUGAAUGGUUUACAGUGAGAGGGUACGUGGUUGACUGCCGGCACGCACCACUUGUAUCAAUAAAUCACUAUCAGAAAA